rnacentral:SRP_RNA from 1 species
GGCCGGGUCCUGCGCAACGGGAGGCCGGCGAACCCGGUCAGGUCCGAGAGGAAGCAGCCGCAGUUGGCUCUCUCCGUGUGAUGCAGGCCGCCCGGUUUUC